CUGCAGCAUCAACUGUUGUUCCUUUUCUUCAUUACAGUAACGUAAUUGAUAUAUUUACAUCUGAGGAAGUGCAUUCUAAUAUGUCAGUGCAGUGAAGGCACACAAUUGCGGGAGGUUAAGGCUAGACAGGUGGGGAAAAAAGUGCGGUCACUUACCAAUAUACAAUCAAAUCAGUUAUACAAAUCAGCACCACAAAAAUAGAGCUUAUAUAUUAUUACCCUUUCCUCGGACGAGAGACCCAAUUGCCAAAGUGCUGCUGCGUUUAAUAUCGCAAAGACUGCCGUGAUCCUCCGGUUUGGCCUUGUAGCACUGACUUGUCCCAUACAAAAUAUAAAUGUAUUUUACAUUUUUGAAUACAUUUGGAAAAUAUAUUUCCGAACACAUUUGGAAAAUAUAUUCCCAAAUACAUUUGGUAAAUAUAUGUCAAAAAUGUUUGAAAUUGGCCGCGUAAAUAUAUUUGUAAAUUUUUUUUUAAUGCAUUUUUAAAAAUCGUGUCUAGAUAGAUCAUUAGGUGGUGUUUCGAACUUGCAAUCUUACGUUCCACAGUUCGGCAGGCUAACCACUACUCCAAACAGAAGUAGCUUGAUUGGAGAGGACCUGAAAAAUGCAUUUUAAUACGGGCUUCAAAAUACAUUUUGUCAUGUAUUUUCUAUAAUUGCAAAAAUAUAUAUAUCUGCUCGAGUUUCUCAGCCAAUCAUAGGGUGAGGUUGACAGCCAAUCACAGCGCGAGAAAUGUUCUGCCAUCCGUUUCAACUAUACUCCCUCCGUUUCCACUAAACUUUCUCUCUCUCUCACAUACAUACAUUCUUCUCUCACAUACAUAUAUAUUCUUUACACAUGCAUACAUUUUCUGCUUAUAUACAUAUAUUAUUUACAAUUGUGACUGCAUGUGCAUGAGAUCAAAAAUGUAUGAAUAUGUAUGUAAAAUAUAGAAAUGUGAGAGAAAAAUAUAUUUAUGUGUGAGUUAAAAAAUAGAAAUAUAAGAGUAAAAUGUAUGAAUGUGUGAGUUAAAAAUAUAUUCUUAUGAGAGAAAAAACUGUAUGUAUGUUAGAGUGAAAAUAUAUGUAUGUGAAUGGAGAAUGUAUAUAUGUGUGAGAGUGAAAAUAUAUGCAUGUGAAAGGAGAAUGUAUAUAUGUAUGAGAGUGUAUAUAUGUGUGAGAGUGAAAAUAUAUGCAUGUGAAAGGAGAAUGUAUAUAUGUAUGAGAGUGAAAAUAUAUGUAUGUGAAAGGAGAAUGUAUAUAUGUGCGAGAGUGAAAAUAUAUGUAUGUGAAAGGGGAAUGUAUGUAUGUGAGAGUACCAGAAUGAAUAAUGUCUUAUACGGCCCCUCAUAG
ensembl:lncRNA